CGAAUGCUGACAUAAGUAACGAUAAAGCGGGUGAAAAGCCCGCUCGCCGGAAGACCAAGGGUUCCUGUCCAACGUUAAUCGGGGCAGGGUGAGUCGACCCCUAAGGCGAGGCCGAAAGGCGUAGUCGAUGGGAAACAGGUUAAUAUUCCUGUACUUGGUGUUACUGCGAAGGGGGGACGGAGAAGGCUAUGUUGGCCGGGCGACGGUUGUCCCGGUUUAAGCGUGUAGGCUGGUUUUCCAGGCAAAUCCGGAAAAUCAAGGCUGAGGCGUGAUGACGAGGCACUACGGUGCUGAAGCAACAAAUGCCCUGCUUCCAGGAAAAGCCUCUAAGCAUCAGGUAACAUCAAAUCGUACCCCAAACCGACACAGGUGGUCAGGUAGAGAAUACCAAGGCGCUUGAGAGAACUCGGGUGAAGGAACUAGGCAAAAUGGUGCCGUAACUUCGGGAGAAGGCACGCUGAUAUGUAGGUGAAGUCCCUCGCGGAUGGAGCUGAAAUCAGUCGAAGAUACCAGCUGGCUGCAACUGUUUAUUAAAAACACAGCACUGUGCAAACACGAAAGUGGACGUAUACGGUGUGACGCCUGCCCGGUGCCGGAAG
rnacentral:rRNA from 1 species